rnacentral:rRNA from 1 species
UACGUAGGGUGCAAGCGUUGUCCGGAAUUAUUGGGCGUAAAGAGCUCGUAGGCGGUCUGUUGCGUCGGCUGUGAAAACCCGGGGCUCAACCCCGGGCCUGCAGCCGAUACGGGCAGACUAGAGUUCGGCAGGGGAGACUGGAAUUCCUGGUGUAGCGGUGAAAUGCGCAGAUAUCAGGAGGAACACCGGUGGCGAAGGCGGAUCUCUGGGCCGAUACUGACGCUGAGGAGCGAAAGCGUGGGGAGCGAACAGG